rnacentral:rRNA from 1 species
GAUGAACGCUAGCUACAGGCCUAACACAUGCAAGUCGAGGGGCAGCGGGAAGGAAGCUUGCUUUCUUCGCCGGCGACCGGCGCACGGGUGCGUAACGCGUAUCGAACCUACCCUUUACUCGGGAACAGUCUUGCGAAAGCAAGAUUAAUGCCCGAUGUUCCGCGUUUGCUGCAUGGCAAAUUCGGCAAAGAUUUAUUGGUAAAGGAUGGCGAUGCGUCCCAUUAGUUAGUUGGCGGGGUAACGGCCCACCAAGACGACGAUGGGUAGGGGUUCUGAGAGGAAGGUCCCCCCACGAUUGGAACUGGAGACCACGGUCCAAACUCCUACGGGAGGCAGCAGUGAGGAAUAUUGGUCAAUGGGGC